rnacentral:lncRNA from 1 species
CCUCCUUGAGCUAUUAGCUUAUCCUCUUCUUAAGUACCCUCAAGAAAAAGGUAACUAUAUACUGACACUACAUUAAUAUCUACACAUAUCCUAAGAAAAAGAAAAGCAGUCAGCUGGGGGAGUCAGUCAAAAGAUUAACCACCCAUGAUAGAAAGAAUUAAAUUCUUAGGUCAGUCUAUGGCAUGAGUUUUUCUCAUAUUUAGAUAAAGCAUUUUACCUUUAGUCUGCUAUUCUUUAUCACACACACACACACACACACGAGGGAGGCAAAGGUCUCUACAGAUUAUGAAUAUCCAUCUCAAUGUUCAACUUCCCCAACACAGGACAAAAUCACCAACAUCUUCAAUGGGAGAAAAUCCUUUAUCGGCUGAUUCAUUUCCAUGUUUUGUUUCUGCAGGAGACGGGAUAUCCUAGAGGAUUUCAAAAUCUCAACAGAAAUCUCAGCAGCAUCAGCAACAGAGUAAGGGUGCUUGAUAGCAAGACAGCAAAAGAAAUCGUGGAUGUCGGUUCAGCACUGUGAUGCUCCUACCGUCCACUGGAGCAGUUUGAAGAAAGACUUUCAUUAACAUACUUACACAGCAGUUGGCAUGCUUCCGGUAAGAAAAGGCGUAGUAUACUGUUUUCCCUCUUGAAUUAUACUCUUUAAGUAAAAUGUUUGCAAGGAAACUCCUGUAGAGAUAGAGAGAUGGAUCAAUGGGAUUAGUGAGUAAAAUGCUUACUGAACAAGCAUAAAGACCUGAGUUCAAAUCCCCAGUACCUAUAUAAAAACUGGUGUGCCAAUGGGGGUCUAAAACCUCUAGGGUUGUAGGGACAGAGACAGAAAGAUCCGGGCUUAAUGGUUGGAGCAGUAAGCUUUGGGGUCACUGGGAAGACCCUGUGUCAAAACAAAGGUGAAGAACAGAACUGAGUACACAGCCAUCCAUACAUGUAUGGACCCACACAGAUCAUACACACACACCCCCCACAUAUAGAUGUGCACAAAACCUAAAUAAACAACAGCAAGCACUUUCUCUUUAAAAAGAG